UGGGAUGUUCAACCAUUUGAAAUAGUUA
rnacentral:piRNA from 1 species